AUUGAACGCUGGCGGCAGGCCUAACACAUGCAAGUCGAACGAGGGGCGGACGGGUGAGUAAUGUCUGGGAAUCUGCCUGAUGGAGGGGGAUAACUACUGGAAACGGUCGCUAAUACCGUAUACUCUCAGGUGUGCCCAUAUGGGAUGAGCUAGUUGGUGGGGUAAGGGCUCACCAAGGCGACGAUCCCUAGCUGGUCUGAGAGGAUGACCAGCCACACUGGAACUGAGACACGGUCCAGACUCCUACGGGAGGCAGCAGUGGGGAAUAUUGCACAAUGGGCGCAAGCCUGAUGCAGCCAUGCCGCGUGUAUGAAGAAGGCCUUCGGGUUGUAAAGUACUUUCAGCGGGGAGGCGUUACCCGCAGAAGAAGCACCGGCUAACUCCGUGCCAGCAGCCGCGGUAAUAC
rnacentral:rRNA from 1 species